rnacentral:rRNA from 2 species
GCACUCAAUUGGAAAGAGGAGUGGCGGACGGGUGAGUAACACGUGGGUAACCUACCCAUCAGAGGGGGAUAACACUUGGAAACAGGUGCUAAUACCGCAUAACAGUUUAUGCCGCAUGGCAUAAGAGUGAAAGGCGCUUUCGGGUGUCGCUGAUGGAUGGACCCGCGGUGCAUUAGCUAGUUGGUGAGGUAACGGCUCACCAAGGCCACGAUGCAUAGCCGACCUGAGAGGGUGAUCGGCCACACUGGGACUGAGACACGGCCCAGACUCCUACGGGAGGCAGCAGUAGGGAAUCUUCGGCAAUGGACGAAAGUCUGACCGAGCAACGCCGCGUGAGUGAAGAAGGUUUUCGGAUCGUAAAACUCUGUUGUUAGAGAAGAACAAGGACGUUAGUAACUGAACGUCCCCUGACGGUAUCUAACCAGAAAGCCACGGCUAACUACGUGCCAGCAGCCGCGGUAAUACGUAGGUGGCAAGCGUUGUCCGGAUUUAUUGGGCGUAAAGCGAGCGCAGGCGGUUUCUUAAGUCUGAUGUGAAAGCCCCCGGCUCAACCGGGGAGGGUCAUUGGAAACUGGGAGACUUGAGUGCAGAAGAGGAGAGUGGAAUUCCAUGUGUAGCGGUGAAAUGCGUAGAUAUAUGGAGGAACACCAGUGGCGAAGGCGGCUCUCUGGUCUGUAACUGACGCUGAGGCUCGAAAGCG